UACGAAGGGGGCUAGCGUUGUUCGGAAUCACUGGGCGUAAAGCGCACGCAGGCGGAUCGUUAAGUCAGUUGUGAAAUCUCCGGGCUUAACCCGGAAAGGUCAACUGAUACUGCAGGGCUAGAGUGCAGAAGGGGCAACUGGAAUUCUCGGUGUAGCGGUGAAAUGCGUAGAUAUCGAGAGGAACACCUGCGGCGAAGGCGGGUUGCUGGGCUGACACUGACGCUGAUGUGCGAAAGCUAGGGGAGCGAACGGG
rnacentral:rRNA from 1 species